GAGGUUGUAGCUCAGUUGGUUAGAGCGCUAGAUUGUGGUUCUAGAGGUCGAGGGUUCGAAACCCUUCAUCCUCC
rfam:Niastella yeongjuensis strain 17621 contig20, whole genome shotgun sequence.